GUUAGCGGCGGACGGGUGAGUAACACGUGGGCAACCUGCCUAUAAGACUGGGAUAACUUCGGGAAACCGGAGCUAAUACCGGAUAACAUAUGAGACCACAUGGUCUCAUAUUAAAAGAUGGCUUUUAGCUAUCACUUAUAGAUGGGCCCGCGGCGCAUUAGCUAGUUGGUGAGGUAAUGGCUCACCAAGGCGACGAUGCGUAGCCGACCUGAGAGGGUGAUCGGCCACACUGGGACUGAGACACGGCCCAGACUCCUACGGGAGGCAGCAGUAGGGAAUCUUCCGCAAUGGACGAAAGUCUGACGGAGCAACGCCGCGUGAGCGAAGAAGGUCUUCGGAUCGUAAAGCUCUGUUGUUAGGGAAGAACAAGUAUCGUUCGAAUAGGGCGGUACCUUGACGGUACCUAACCAGAAAGCCACGGCUAACUACGUGCCAGCAGCCGCGGUAAUACGUAGGUGGCAAGCGUUAUCCGGAAUUAUUGGGCGUAAAGCGCGCGCAGGCGGUCCUUUAAGUCUGAUGUGAAAGCCCACGGCUCAACCGUGGAGGGUCAUUGGAAACUGGGGGACUUGAGUGCAGAAGAGGAGAGCGGAAUUCCACGUGUAGCGGUGAAAUGCGUAGAGAUGUGGAGGAACACCAGUGGCGAAGGCGGCUCUCUGGUCUGUAACUGACGCUGAGGCGCGAAAGCGUGGGGAGCGAACAGGAUUAGAUACCCUGGUAGUCCACGCCGUAAACGAUGAGUGCUAAGUGUUAGAGGGUUUCCGCCCUUUAGUGCUGCAGCAAACGCAUUAAGCACUCCGCCUGGGGAGUACGGUCGCAAGACUGAAACUCAAAGGAAUUGACGGGGGCCCGCACAAGCG
rnacentral:rRNA from 1 species